UGGUUUUGUCCUCUUUGUACC
ensembl:piRNA 21ur-12 ncRNA